GAAUAGCAACUGGACUAAUUUACUACCCAGUCUCUGAAUCUAGAUGGCUGAAAGGCCAGCAUGUGGUCAAGAGCAUCCUGGACAGCACUGUGCAAGGAAUUCACCCAUGUACUGUUCAGGACUAGUAAAUGAAUUUUUACAAGGCCCACUGGGGUCUUUUGUCUGCUGACUUCUAUUGCUUCUGCUUAGCAGGAAGCAAUAGUGGAACUUCAAUGCAACAAGUUAACUCUGUGCUGAAUGCUGCCUUCACAACUGACAUCUGUCUUGUCACAAAGAAACUUCUUGAGAAAUGGUAAGAAAUACGAGAUCUUUUGCAGGAAUGUGGUUUACAUCACACUUGGGAUCUCUGCAUGGCCUGUGACAAAUUCAGUCAAGAUCCAGCUUUGGGCUAAAGCCUACCAUUGGAGUUGACUUGAUGUAUACAGAGUUUUCUUCUACAUUCUUAAUUAAUGGAAGCAUAUCCUUAUCCCCUACCAAAGGCCCUGUCAAGCAGAUGUCUUCUGAAUUGUGGCUAAAAUAUAAUUUCGUGCUAUUUCUAAGUAGGAGCAGAUAUCCUGAGUUUCUGAACCCUCACAGAAUUCUGCCAGUCACACCUCUUGUUAUAUCAAGGAUAUCAAAUUGAGGCACAUGGACAGCUGUGGCCGUGUGUUGGCAUGUACGUACACAGAAGAAGGAGUCAUGAGGAAAAAAGAUAAGAGGUGAUACACCCAUUCUGUGUAGUACUUGUAGUUCAUAACCAACAUAUGAAAAAAAUUGCUUUGAGUCAAGCAGUGCAGAAGCAGUCCUUGCUGUACUGACAUGAACUUCCUUUUAUUAGGUUUUUAAGGUGUAGCCUUAUGCAGAGUAGAUGAGAGCAGCAUAAUCCAGAUGGGAAGGAAUUAUUAAGGGCUACACAAGGAGCAACUGUUGCACAGGUAUAGUAACUUCAGAGUGAAGCUGCUUAAACAUGAAGGCAUUGCUGGGAGCGGUGAAGGAAAGGUAUAAAGCAUUCAUGUGGAAGGAGCGUGUCUUUCCAAGUCAUUCUAAAAAAGAGCCCUACAUACUGCUGGUAGAAAAGGGAGAGACUUGCCUUCAAAUCAAAUGUAAAAAUAUUAAGUAUAUAAUGGCAUUAUAGCAGGUGUGAAUUUCACCCUAUUAAGGCAGGGUGGGUUUUUUUGAAAUGUCACUUUUCUUUGGGGCAAAGGGGGAGAUACGAAUGACUUUAUGUGCUGAAUGAUGUGUUAAAUAAUAUUUAUGAAUUUAUACUUGUAAUACGAUUGUGGGAAACUUGUGAUCUCUACAGACAUUUGAUCAUUCUAUGUUGCUAUGUACUCAGCUAACAUUCUGUGUUUUCAGAUACUUGAGAGAAAGUAUAGAAAAAUGUAAACUAAAGGAAGUUGGUAGGAAGCCAGAAGUGCUAAAAGAGAACAGAGCAAGUGUUUGCCUUUGGCCCAAACCUGAAAAUUCUGAGGGGGUACAAAGAUGAGGUAUGACAAUUAAUAUAUAACAAAGGAUCUAUGCAUAUGUGCAUGGAGAUAUAUAUACAUAUUUAUCUAUAAUGUGGGGUUAUGUAUUUUGGUGAGCUUCUAUCCAAACCUUAAUGUUCCCUUGGCUGAAAUAUGGUUUUUGAUCUAGGAAAUAGAUUAGGAAACCGAACUGUUAAAUUUUUAUUCUUUGAAAUUUGAUGUUGAAGUCACUGAAGUGUUUCAAACAGUAUGUAAAUUAGCUUCAUAUAUGUCUUUAUCCCUGAGCUUUGAUUUUUCCUUUGUGUAUAAACAAUGCUCUUGAAAUUACUGGGUUUUGUCUUGCUUAAAGACAGUGGAUUUAAAAAACUCCUCAAUGUUUCACCCUCCAUACUGAUCUUUCUGCAUACAAGCUGAAGUUUUUGUUCCACAUUAAAAAUGAAGGCACCAACUGAGGAUUUAUAAGUUUGAGAGCAUUCUAAUACACAUCCUUUGCCUCAGUAUCCCUCAACCAUUGCGCAAACCAUCAUGUCCAAUGCCAAGCCAAGUUCCCUGUUGAAAUGUGUCAAUGUUUUUUGUCAUCUAGCCUUGAUUGUAUUUUAUAUUAAAUACCAGCACUUGACAAUGAAUAUUUCUUGCUCAAGAACCAGGAACUGUGGGUCUGACUUGCCAAACUGUUGGCUUAAUUAUCUCUUUUCCUGAAACAGACUUAACACUUUUUGUCAGAUGAGGCUGUAUAAUCCUACCUGCUUAACCCACGUAUUACCAGUCCCUUAGGAUUCUUCUAGGAAAAGGAUGAAAAAGUCUAUCUUAUGCAGCAUAUUGUCCAUACAACAAUGAAGAAGUUACUCUAUGACUCUGAGUGUGUGUAUGCAGUGGUUUUGUAAAUCCCUUUGAGCCUAGUCUUGAGAAAGGCAACUAAUCCCAGUAAAAGGGUAUUGCUUCAUAUGAAAUAUUUGCAGAGCUGUGGAAUGCAUUCCUUCACCCCAGCUGCCCAGGCUGUUUGCGUACUGGGGCUUUGGUUGCUACUAUAGAUAAACUGCGCAAAUAAAUGAAACCAGCUGCUAUUUUACACCCACUAGUUUUGUUUCAUUAUGUAUAUGCUCACAACUUCCUUCCCCCUCCCCCAAUAGUAUAUUGUGACUAUUAUGGAGACUGCUGUUCCCCUAAAGCAAUGAAGAGGCAUCCUCAAAUGCAUUGUCUGUCUUCCCUAUCUCUUUUACGUCUGUGCAACCAAGUUGUAAUUCUUAAAGUAUGAAUCCUUUCCCAUUGCAUUUGAGCCUACAUCAUCCUAAAGUGUAUUGCAGGUUUCAUUCUCGGAAAAGGAAAAAUAACAAAGUUAUUGCCAUACAAGGGUAGGCUGGGAGAACUGGGUUUGUUCAGCCUUGAGAAAAGGAGGCUCAGAUGGGAUCUCAUCUCCAUGUACCAGUACUUAAGCGGUAGCUACCGAGAAGAUGGAGACUCCCUUUUUACAAGGAGCCACAUGGAGCGGACGUGGGGGAAUAGACACAAGUUGCUCUUGGGGAGGUUCUGACUGGACACAGAAGGAAAAUUUUUCACAGUGAGGACAGUCAACCAUUGGAAUAAUCUCCCCAGGGAAGUGGUUGACUCAGCCACAUUGGACACCUUCAAGAGUCAUCUGGACAGGGUGCUGGGCCAACUUGUUUAGACUCUGCUCUUCCUAGAAAGGUUGGACUAGAUGAUCCCUGAGGUGCCUUCCGACCUGUGAUUCUGUGAAAGUAACUGAUUCCCAAUUUUUAAUUUUCUAUAGUUGUCUGUGUGUAAAUUUCUUCCUCUUUAAAUAAAUCUUGAAGGA